rnacentral:rRNA from 1 species
UACGGGGGGGGCAAGCGUUGUUCGGAAUCACUGGGCGUAAAGGGCGCGUAGGCGGCCAUUCAAGUCGGAGGUGAAAGCCCAGGGCUCAACCCUGGAAUUGCCUUCGAUACUGUUUGGCUAGAGACCGGAAGAGGUAAGUGGAACUGCGAGUGUAGAGGUGAAAUUCGUAGAUAUUCGCAAGAACACCAGUGGCGAAGGCGGCUUACUGGUCCGGUUCUGACGCUGAGGCGCGAAAGCGUGGGGAGCAAACAGG